UUUAUGGAGAGUUUGAUCCUGGCUCAGGAUGAACGCUGGCGGCGUGCCUAAUACAUGCAAGUCGAGCGAACGGACGAGAAGCUUGCUUCUCUGAUGUUAGCGGCGGACGGGUGAGUAACACGUGGAUAACCUACCUAUAAGACUGGGAUAACUUCGGGAAACCGGAGCUAAUACCGGAUAAUAUUUUGAACCGCAUGGUUCAAAAGUGAAAGACGGUCUUGCUGUCACUUAUAGAUGGAUCCGCGCUGCAUUAGCUAGUUGGUAAGGUAACGGCUUACCAAGGCAACGAUGCAUAGCCGACCUGAGAGGGUGAUCGGCCACACUGGAACUGAGACACGGUCCAGACUCCUACGGGAGGCAGCAGUAGGGAAUCUUCCGCAAUGGGCGAAAGCCUGACGGAGCAACGCCGCGUGAGUGAUGAAGGUCUUCGGAUCGUAAAACUCUGUUAUUAGGGAAGAACAUAUGUGUAAGUAACUGUGCACAUCUUGACGGUACCUAAUCAGAAAGCCACGGCUAACUACGUGCCAGCAGCCGCGGUAAUACGUAGGUGGCAAGCGUUAUCCGGAAUUAUUGGGCGUAAAGCGCGCGUAGGCGGUUUUUUAAGUCUGAUGUGAAAGCCCACGGCUCAACCGUGGAGGGUCAUUGGAAACUGGAAAACUUGAGUGCAGAAGAGGAAAGUGGAAUUCCAUGUGUAGCGGUGAAAUGCGCAGAGAUAUGGAGGAACACCAGUGGCGAAGGCGACUUUCUGGUCUGUAACUGACGCUGAUGUGCGAAAGCGUGGGGAUCAAACAGGAUUAGAUACCCUGGUAGUCCACGCCGUAAACGAUGAGUGCUAAGUGUUAGGGGGUUUCCGCCCCUUAGUGCUGCAGCUAACGCAUUAAGCACUCCGCCUGGGGAGUACGACCGCAAGGUUGAAACUCAAAGGAAUUGACGGGGACCCGCACAAGCGGUGGAGCAUGUGGUUUAAUUCGAAGCAACGCGAAGAACCU
rnacentral:rRNA from 1 species